GCCCGGAUAGUUUAGUGGUAAAACGGCUCCAUGGUAAGGAGUUGAGUGGGAGUCCGAUUCUCCCUCCGGGCU
rnacentral:tRNA from 1 species